rnacentral:rRNA from 1 species
UAAUACGUAGGUGGCAAGCGUUGUCCGGAUUUAUUGGGUUUAAAGGGUGCGUAGGCGGUUCUAUAAGUCAGUGGUGAAAUCCGGCAGCUCAACUGUCGAUGUGCCAUUGAUACUGCAGAACUUGAGUACAGACGAGGUAGGCGGAAUUGACGGUGUAGCGGUGAAAUGCUUAGAUAUCGUCAAGAACACCGAUAGCGAAGGCAGCUUACUAGACUGUAACUGACGCUGAUGCACGAAAGUGUGGGGAUCAAACAGGAUUAGAUACCCUGGUAGUCCACACUGUAAACGAUGAUUACUCGAUGUUAGCGAUACACAGUUAGCGUCUUAGCGAAAGCGAUAAGUAAUCCACCUGGGGAGUACGCCGGCAACGGUG